AACUUUUAACGGUGGAUCUCUUGGCUCGUGCAUCGAUGAAGAACGCAGCCAGGUGCGAUAAGUAGUGGAA
rfam:Nematostella vectensis strain CH2 x CH6 NEMVEscaffold_11606_Cont57224, whole genome shotgun sequence.